ACGGCCAUGGCAGUUGCGGAGAAAUAGUUAAACAUUUCCUGUAGCAGCUUAGGACAGUACAGUUUGUGAGUUAACAGAUCAGGGUGAGCCUCAGUGUUUCCUGGUGUACUGUACUCAUCCGCCAACUUAGGACAGCUGUUUAGUGAUCGCAGAGGUGCGACACCCGUUUCAGAGCCAUUUACAUCAUUUAGUGAGGAUUCCUGUGUCUGACAGUACUGAACCUGAGGAAUUUCACACAUUUUUGAGCAGAGACCAGGUG
rnacentral:misc_RNA from 1 species